GGGAGAGGGAGGACCACUAAGGGAAGGGAUGGAGGACCACUAAGGGAGAGAGGGGGGAGUGAGAAGACCACCAAGGGGGGACUGCAGAGGGACAGGGGGCCAAGGGAGAGCACUAAGGGACAGAAGGGGUAGAACACGGAGGGACAGGAGGGAAGGGGAAAUCAAUAAUUGACAGGAGGGGAGAGCACUAUGAAAUUUUUUUUACAAAAUAAAGAGCUGUUCCCCUCUCAGUCCCUAUCCUACCCCACAAACCCUCUCUUUUACACUACACACAAACACAAUGCAUUCCCCCCCCCACACACACACAGAAACAUACAAUGCAUUCCUACUCACACACAGACACACCCGAAACAGACCUUGAGCUGUGUAAGGGGCCCUAAAAAAUGGAGCUGCUUCCUGUUCGUUAAUUGUUGUGAGCACUGUUA